rnacentral:rRNA from 1 species
UGGGGGAUAUUGCACAAUGGGCGAAAGCCUGAUGCAGCGACGCCGCGUGGGGGAUGAAGGCUUUCGGGUUGUAAACCUCUUUCGCUAUCGAACAAGGCCCGCUUAGGGUGGGUUGAGGGUAGGUGGAGAAGAAGCGCCGGCUAACUACGUGCCAGCAGCCGCGUUAAUACGUAGGGCGCGAGCGUUGUCCGGAAUUAUUGGGCGUAAAGGGCUUGUAGGCGGCUUGUUGCGCCUGCUGUGAAAACGCGGGGCUUAACUUCGCGCGUGCAGUGGGUACGGGCAGGCUUGAGUGUGGUAGGGGUGACUGGAAUUCCAGGUGUAGCGAUGGAAUGCGCAGAUAUCUGGAGGAACACCGAUGGCGAAGGCAGGUCACUGGGCCAUUACUGACGCUGAGGAGCGAAAGCAUGGGUAGCGAACAGG